AGCGAACGCUAGCGGGAUGCCUCAAACAUGCAAGUCGUACGCGAAUUUGGCUUCGGCCAUUAGUAGAGUGGCGCACGGGUGCGUAGCACGUAGCUAACGUACCCUAUCGCUGGGGAUAACUCCGUGAAAACGGAGCUAAUACCGAAUGAUCUGUCGGGGUCUGCGGACCCUGCCGGUAAAGCCGUAAGGCGCGAUAGGAUCGGGCUGCGGCAGAUUAGUUUGUGGUGGGGUAAUGGCCUACCAAGACUACGAUCUGUAGCUGGUCUGAGAGGAUGAUCAGCCACACUGGAACUGGAACACGGUCCAGACUCCCACGGGAGGCAGCAGUUGGGAAUAUUGGACAAUGGGAGCAAUCCUGAUCCAGCAAUCCCACGUGAGUGAUGAAGGCC
rnacentral:rRNA from 1 species